rnacentral:rRNA from 1 species
UACGUAGGCAGCGAGCGUUGUUCGGAAUUACUGGGCGUAAAGAGUGUGUAGGUGGUGAUCUAAGUCUGUCGUGAAAUCUCCCGGCUUAACUGGGAGGGUGCGGCGGAAACUGGAUCGCUAGAGUAUGGGAGAGGUAAGCGGAAUUCCUGGUGUAGCGGUGAAAUGCGCAGAUAUCAGGAGGAACACCAAUGGCGAAGGCAGCUCGCUGGGACGGUACUGACGCUGAGACGCGAAAGCGUGGGGAGCAAACAGG